rnacentral:rRNA from 1 species
GAUGAACGCUAGCUGGAGGCUUAAUACAUGCAAGUCGAGCGGGAUUGGGUAGCAAUACCCAUGAGAGCGGCGCACGGGUGAGUAACGCGUACACGACCUACCUUUGACUGGGGGAUAGCCCUGGGAAACUGGGAUUAAUACCGCAUAUAAUUCUGAUUAAUAAAGGAUUGGAAUGAAAGUUCAGGCGGUCAGAGAUGGGUGUGCGUCUGAUUAGCUAGUUGGUAAGGUAACGGCUUACCAAGGCGAUGAUCAGUAGGGGGCGUGAGAGCGUGAUCCCCCACACGGGUACUGAGACACGGACCCGACUCCUACGGGAGGCUG